rnacentral:rRNA from 1 species
UACGAAGGGGGGCUAGCGUUGCUCGGAAUCACUGGGCGUAAAGGGUGCGUAGGCGGGUCUUUAAGUCAGGGGUGAAAUCCUGGAGCUCAACUCCAGAACUGCCUUUGAUACUGAAGAUCUUGAGUUCGGGAGAGGUGAGUGGAACUGCGAGUGUAGAGGUGAAAUUCGUAGAUAUUCGCAAGAACACCAGUGGCGAAGGCGGCUCACUGGCCCGAUACUGACGCUGAGGCACGAAAGCGUGGGGAGCAAACAGGGAUUAGAAACC